ensembl:snoRNA
GUUGGUUGUAAAUAACCCUUGGCUUUAGUUGUGGCUGUGGAUGAUAUUCAGUACCUAGAGCCACCAGUAGCCUUAGCUCACCACCCACUGUUUCAAUGCCAAGGGUAAAGCCAGGCUCUGACAGUC